CGGGGGGGGCAAGCGUUGUUCGGAAUUACUGGGCGUAAAGGGUGCGUAGGCGGCUCUCUAAGUCGGAUGUGAAAACUCUGGGCUCAACCCAGAGCCUGCAUCUGAAACUGGAGGGCUAGGGUUUUUGGAGGGGAAAGCGGAAUUCCAGGUGUAGCGGUGAAAUGCGUAGAUAUCUGGAGGAACACCGGUGGCGAAGGCGGCUUUCUGGACAAAUACCGACGCUGAGGCACGAAAGCUAGGGGAGCAAACAGGAUUAGAUACCCUGGUAGUCCUAGCCCUAAACUAUGGAUACUUGCUGUGGGGGGGAUUGAAGCCCCUUGUGGCGAAGCCAACGCAUUAAGUAUCCCGCCUGGGGAGUACGGUCGCAAGGCUG
rnacentral:rRNA from 1 species